rnacentral:rRNA from 1 species
UACGGAGGGAUCUAGCGUUGUUCGGACUUACUGGGCGUAAAGCGCACGUAGGCGGCUUUGUAAGUUAGAGGUGAAAGCCCGGGGCUCAACUCCGGAAUUGCCUUUAAGACUGCAUCGCUAGAAUUGUGGAGAGGUGAGUGGAAUUCCGAGUGUAGAGGUGAAAUUCGUAGAUAUUCGGAAGAACACCAGUGGCGAAGGCGACUCACUGGACACAUAUUGACGCUGAGGUGCGAAAGCGUGGGGAGCAAACAGG